CUCACUGCUCAAUAUUUUUGCCAUUUAGGAGUUAAAUCAAUUUCUGUUGAUGCAGCCCUAGCCACCAAGAACAUUGUUUUAUUUUCAAUCAGAUGUUAAAUUACUUUAGACAUUUUGUCUCCUGCUUUGUAAAUUGAACUUUAAUCACAAACGGGUGGCUUCUGCAACAUCAAGCAAGCUAUUAACAGUGCAUGAGAAAUUUUUUAACUAAACAGACUGUGCAAUAAAGUAAGUAUAAACAUUAGAGAACUCUUUACAGGAAGUGUUUAGGAAGGCUGUGUAAGUCACAUACAGGGAGGUGUGGCUAGGGCUGCAUGAACAAAGUGAUUAAUCUCCUAAACGGCAGAGAAUUGAGCAGUGAGACUGCAGGGGCAUGGUCUAUACACCAAAACUGUUUCAUUGAGAUAAGGUUGUUUUGGUGACUAUAGUGUCUCGUUAAGCAAGAUUGUGCAUUUAUACUGUUUAACUACAACUCUUAUUUUAUAUUUUGGUACUGUUUCUGUUGAAAAUUCAGUGUCUACCAAUCUAACCUGCCUUAAAAGUUUGACAAGAAAAAAAAAGACAGUGCCACUUUACUAUGUGAAUUAUGCAAUGUUUGGGAGAUAUAGAAAUUAAAGGGACACUAUAGUCACCUGAACAACUUUAGCUUAAUUAAGCAGUUUUGGUGUAUAGAACAUGC